CUCAUCGCGGUCUGUGGCGCUCACCGCGUAGAUGUACGCGCCCGGCACGUUGUUCUCGGUCACAUACACGUCGUAGACGGGCUGGCUAAACCGCGGUGCGUUGUCGUUCACAUCUGACACUUGUACCUGGAUCGACUUACUGGUGGAGAGCGCCGGCUCACCCCUGUCCCGAGCCACCACUGUUAGGGUGUAGGAGUCUCCAGCCUCUCGGUCCAGGGGGGCCUCGGUCACGAUGGUAUAGUAGUUCUUGAAGGAAGACUUGAGGCGGAACGGCACAUCCCCCAACAGCUCGCACUGCACCUGCCCAUUUUCCUCUGAGUCGCGGUCCGUCACGCUAAACAGGGCCACCACUGUACCCGGCGCCGCGCCCUCGCUCACCGCCUCCUUCACCGUGCUGAAGCUUAUUUCUGGCGCGUUGUCGUUAGCAUCCAGUACUCGCACUAGCACCUUGCAGUGCGCGGGCACCGCGUUGGGGCCCAAGUCCUUGGCUUGUACGUAUACUUGGUACACUGGGCUCUCUUCAUAGUCUAGCUCGCCGCUCACCUCCAGUCGGCCGGUGCGCGGGGAGAGUCCAAAGAGCUCCCGCGCCCUGGGCGAAAUGUGGCUGCUGAAGGAAUACACGACUUCGCCAUUCUGUCCCUCAUCUGGGUCUGUGGCGUUGAGCUGGAUUACAAGCGUGCCCGGUGGCGAGUUCUCUGGUAGAGACACAGUGUAGACGGGUUGGUCGAAGGCGGGGACAUUGUCGUUGGAGUCCAGCACUCGGAUGUAUAGAAUGGUCCCCUGCGGCUUCCUGGUAAUGAAUGACCCGAGAGUAACACCGCCACAACCUGCGAGAAAAGGAGAGCCCUUUGCCCAUCCCGAGAUCUGCAAGAUUGAAAUGAAAUAUUUUGAGUUCUUCCAGCUGACUCAUCAGAACCCUGGAGCAUUUUUUAAAUGACGCAGAAAAUGGAAGAAAACAACUUUAAAACAAUUUUAAUACGGAAAGAAAUAAUCAAAGGAAGAUGAUUAUGGAAUCUUAUUUACCUACUAUGCUUUUCUUGCAACCGGGCUUGACGUUGUGCUGUUCGGAUUUACUCCUGAAGGCAAGUAAAAGAACUUCCCGAACAAAUAUGUGAGAGACAGCAGAAAUUGUGCUCUUCCCACAUCGUGAGGCCCUCAAGUGGAGAACAGUAGCCUUCUCCUGGGAGGCAAUCCUGGGAUCCCCUGUUACUGAAACUGCUGAUGGUGGCAACAGAUGGAGAUUCUGCAAGGGGAAAUCGAAGCUUGAAAUUUUUGGACCUUUAUUGCAACGUGAGUUCCUUUUGACAUUGACGUGGGAGGAGGGGAAUUAAUAUUGUUAGCCUUUCAAUAUAUUCCUCAUUACCAGGGUUAGAAAAAUUCCCAAUUUUUGGUGUUGAGAUCCCAGAAACUCUUAAGAGGUUUCUUUCAGUUAGAGAGUCUUUGAAAUAAUAACCUGUUUUUCAGAUUCCAAAUGGAGAGUUUUUUUUUUCUUAUUUAUUCAGUUGAGAGAGAGA